UGGGGAAUAUUGCACAAUGGGCGCAAGCCUGAUGCAGCCAUGCCGCGUGUAUGAAGAAGGCCUUCGGGUUGUAAAGUACUUUCAGCGAGGAGGAAGGCGAUGCGGUUAAUAACCGUGUCGAUUGACGUUACUCGCAGAAGAAGCACCGGCUAACUCCGUGCCAGCAGCCGCGGUAAUACGGAGGGUGCAAGCGUUAAUCGGAAUUACUGGGCGUAAAGCGCACGCAGGCGGUCUGUCAAGUCGGAUGUGAAAUCCCCGGGCUCAACCUGGGAACUGCAUUCGAAACUGGCAGGCUUGAGUCUUGUAGAGGGGGGUAGAAUUCCAGGUGUAGCGGUGAAAUGCGUAGAGAUCUGGAGGAAUACCGGUGGCGAAGGCGGCCCCCUGGACAAAGACUGACGCUCAGGUGCGAAAGCGUGGGAAGCAAACA
rnacentral:rRNA from 1 species